rnacentral:rRNA from 1 species
GGGCCCGCACAAGCGGUGGAGCAUGUGGUUUAAUUCGAUGCAACGCGAAGAACCUUACCUGGUCUUGACAUACACAGAAUCUUGUAGAGAUACGAGAGUGCCUUCGGGAAUUGUGAUACAGGUGCUGCAUGGCUGUCGUCAGCUCGUGUCGUGAGAUGUUGGGUUAAGUCCCGCAACGAGCGCAACCCUUGUCCUUAGUUACCAGCGGGUUAAGCCGGGAACUCUAAAGAGACUGCCGGUGAUAAGCCGGAGGAAGGUGGGGACGACGUCAAGUCAUCAUGGCCCUUACGACCAGGGCUACACACGUGCUACAAUGGUAGGUACAGAGGGCAGCUACACAGCGAUGUGAUGCGAAUCUCAAAAAGCCUAUCGUAGUCCAGAUUGGAGUCUGCAACUCGACUCCAUGAAGUAGGAAUCGCUAGUAAUCG